AGUGGGGAAUAUUGGACAAUGGGCGCAAGCCUGAUCCAGCCAUGCCGCGUGAGUGAUGAAGGCCCUAGGGUUGUAAAGCUCUUUCGCACGCGACGAUAAUGACGGUAGCGUGAGAAGAAGCCCCGGCUAACUUCGUGCCAGCAGCCGCGGUAAUACGAAGGGGGCUAGCGUUGCUCGGAAUCACUGGGCGUAAAGGGCGCGUAGGCGGGCUCUUAAGUCGGGGGUGAAAGCCUGUGGCUCAACCACAGAAUGGCCUUCGAUACUGGGAGCCUUGAGACCGGAAGAGGUGAGUGGAACUGCGAGUGUAGAGGUGAAAUUCGUAGAUAUUCGCAAGAACACCAGUGGCGAAGGCGGCUCACUGGUCCGGGUCUGACGCUGAGGCGCGAAAGCGUGGGGAGCAA
rnacentral:rRNA from 1 species